CAACAGCUUAACAUUAAAUCAUCGCUCUUCGAAGUGUCAUUUUGUGCUCGAUAGGAAGUAAUGGCCCUUAAACAGAGCGUCCCUAUAAAAAAUCUAGAGGGAGCUGGCCUCUAUAAAAAUUGAAAUUAGCACCAGUAUUUAAUUGUCUGUUAGCUGUUAGCUUCCAUUAACCUUAAGGUUUUACGGAAAAAGGCUAAAUUCGGCCCUAAAGGCUUCAAUGUCUGUGUGAAAAUGGCACUAUGGUAAAGAGGUAGUUAAAAAAUGAGAGGGAGCUGGCCUCUACAAAUUAUUGAUUUAGAUAGAUUGGCGUAUCAAGUUUCGAAUGAUAUACCUCAUUAAACAUAUGGUUUUACGGAAAAUGGCUAAAUUUGUCAAAAACUAUAUCGUUUUUAAAUAUAAACCGUAUAUUAACAAUGGCGACGUGCGCCACUUCCGUCGCCGACGCCAUGUUGCCCGAGAUACGUUAGCUAGGGUUGUUUUGUUGUGCUGUGUAUGGUUAAUUAGAAUUGGAUUUUCAAGAUGAAUAUUGAAGUUGCUAGACGGCGUUGUGCAUAUGAGGGGCGCGCACUGAUUGCAAGUGAUUCUGAAGUGCCAAAAUUAAACAAAAUUGGUUCUUGGUAGGUACGUUUCGAAGUCCAUUCAGGCUCUUGGAAUGGAAUGGGUGAUCCUGAUUCUGAAAAGCUUGCUGGACGAUGUCAUGUCCCUCUCUGCCAUAAGUGUAUAUUCUUUGGCAAGUCACAGAUCAAAAUUGUUCAGGUGGGAUUACUUGACUAGUGCAUUGGCUGGGCUCUCCAUUGAUGUCGGUCUAGUGUGGAGUCACCAUGCAUCACUCAGCAUGGUGCUGUGCUGGUGCAGCUUCACCGGAAUUUGUAUGGAGCAGAGCAGGCUCCAAAUGUUGGCCUCUCAGUCUGCGUGUAUCGCUGCUGUGCAUUAGUGUGGCCUCUCUGCGUCCUGCAAGACUUAUGUCGGGCCUCUGUGCGUCACACGACUGUGUGUUGCCUCUGCGUGUCACAAGACUGUGUGGUCUCUGCUCGUCACAAGACUGUGUGGCCUCUGCUCGUCACAAGACUUGUGUGGCCUCUGCAUGCCACAAGACUUUUGUGUGUGGCUUCUGCGUGCCGCAAGACCAGGUGGACAUGCUGCAGCACUGGCUGUGGCGGGAGCCGGCAGCAGCGGCUAGCCACAAGACCUUAACGUGGUCUCUCAGUCUGUGUGCCGCGCCGCUAUGCUGGCUGUGGCAGGAGCCUGCGGUGGCAACUGGUCGCAAGACACCAGCUGGAUCAGUUCAGAGGAAACUCGGGACCUGGUGCCGCGGCGGUGCUGGCGAGCAUGCUGCUGGCUGCUGCCAUGCCGCAAGACCAAGUGGCCGCUCCGCCGCGCUGGCUGUGGCGGGAGCCGGUGGCGGCGUGCAACACGACUGCUGUGUGGCCUCUUAGUCUGCGUGUCUCGCCGCUGCGCUGGCUAUGGCGGGAGCCGGCGGUGGCGACGGGUCGCAAGACUCUAGUGUGGCCUUGCUGUUGUGCCGGUCUGGGGCACAGCACAGCGGCGUCUGCCAGAGUGACGCUGCUGGUCGUCCUCCGCGCGCUAGAUAGGUGAUUCGCUGCUGCUCAAGGAGAAUAUGUUAUCGGCUCCUCAUGAAGAAGUUCCAGUUCCAGCUGCCUGGCCUCUCCACCCUCCGCCGCUGGACUCGAGGCUUCCGGACGUCACCUAGGAUCCUGGACAUAGUUCUGCAGAUCAUGCGCUCGUCCGCAGACACCAUAACGCCGCAUGAGAGGCUGCUCGUCUAAUCCCUUCGACGAGAUCACCAUCGAUCCCCGCGUGGCGUACGACUCCACGGACGACGCGGUCUACGGCCCUAACGACAAGAUGCAGGUGGUGAUGGUCCGAUCCUUGUGCAGUCGUUGGAAGCAGCCCGUCUUCCUCGACUACAAGGGCCUUCUCCGCCGCAUCAUAGCCGGGAGCCGGCGGCGACGUACAACAAGACUGUAGCGUCAAGCGUGGCCGCACUCUGUCAUCUGUGUACCGCGCCGGUGCGCUGGCUAUGGCUGGAGCCGGCGGCGGCGACGGGUCACCAGCUGGAUCAGUGCAGCGGUAACUCAGGUGCCGGCGAUCAUGCUGUUGGCUGCUGCCGUGCCGCAAGACCAAGUGGCCGCUCCGCUGCGCUGGCUAUGGCGGGAGCCGGCGGCGGCGGCGCUCUGCAAAAUACCAGCUGGAGCGGUCGAGCGAAUGCUCAGACUCGUGGGCGACAGUCUGACGGCGUCCUGUGGACGAAGAUAGCGAAGCAUUUGCGUGGAUGGCUCGGUAGGCGGCUCGUCCGCCACCCGGGUGACGGAGACCUCAUGAUGCGCUUCCUACCGAGUCUUGCCCAUGCGGAGGCGAUGCGGCGCCGAGCCACCGAGGCGUCCCGACCGGCGCUGGCGCGAAUAGUGGCUUGUCACCCAAAGUUUAACGGAGGCAUGGUGGUGCUAAGGACCGUCUGACGACGCGUCCCGUGGCAGAUCCCGUGGCAGACGGCGCGGCA
rnacentral:lncRNA from 1 species